rnacentral:lncRNA from 1 species
CAUAUAUGAUUAUAAAAUAUCAUGGCGUAGUAACUUUAAAAGAAUCAGAAAUUCUCAGUAUGAAAUCAAUUUGUCAUCAACAUAACAAUGUUUGGAAGAGAUUUUUACUUCCAUCUUCUUUGCUCUAGCUCAAAUAUGCUCAGUCAAUAAACUUUCUUGAGAAACAAUACAUCAACAUUUUAUAGGAACAAUACAUCGACAUUUUAUAGGACAUGAUAAAGGGCAAGCAAAAGAAUUAGAACUUUUCGUACCAAGAACCUUUCACCAAUAAUCCGAAAUGUUCCUAACCUAAUUGAACUGGAAAAAACCCGUCAAGUAUCUACAAGACCCCGCACAUCUCCAUUGGAUAUCUGAAACACCGUCAAUAAAUCCUUGUUAGCUUUGAGAAAAGAGCACAAAAUUAUAGUAAGAUGAGAUCAUGAGAGCUCCGAUAGGUAUGGUCCAGCACAUACGUACAAAAUUAAAUCAAGCAUGAAAAUCAUAGAACAUUUAUAAUUACAUCAAAAUACAAUGUAGGUAUAUGAAAAAUUAAAUCAAGAAAUUCUUGCACAAUAUAAGGAUUGUUCUGUUCCAAAGCAUCCCCCCCUGGACGUAAGUAGGUAUUAUGAAAAAAUCCCUUCUCAUUACUUACCCAUUGGCCAUUAGAACCCUUACUAUGAUUGACUAAUAAAUUUUUGUUGUAUUUGCAACAGUAGCUUUUUACUCCCUCCGUCCGCGAAUAAGUGUACAUCUAGCUUUUGUCUUAAGUCAAAAUUUUAAAUUUUUGACCAACUUUAUAGAAAAGAGUAGUAUCAUAUAUGACAUCAAAUUGGUACAUUAUAAAACUACAUUUUAAAACGAAUCUGGUGAUGCUAAUUUAGUGCCAUAAAUAUUGCUACUCUUCCUUAUAAAGUUGGUCAAAGUUUUAAAACUUUGACUUAGGGAAAAAUCUAGAUGUACACUUAUUCGCGGACGGAGGGAGUAUUAUCUAUGCAUAUCUCUUACCUAUGAUAAUGUUUAUAAAAAUCAAUCAAAUGAUAUACAUAAUGUAUCACAUUUCUGUCAAAUUGGGUGCACAAGGUUUUCUCCCAUGCAACAACGAUACAUGGUGAAAUAUCGAGAUCGAAACAGAAGAGAGACACUAAAUUGCAAAAUGCAAACAGAGCGGUAAGAAGAUAUGUUUUCAAGAACCCACUCAGCCUCUCACAAGAGAUCAAACUAUGAUGCCUUGGCGCAAACAAUAGUCCACUUGUUGAAGGAUGGAGCAGAGCAUGUAAAUCUGACAUAGAAUGCACAUUCCCUGAAAGCAUUGGUGCGGUGAACUUUCCACAAGAGUGGCCAGUUGAAUAUAUAUGUGUUCAUGUUAAAGGCAUGAGCAAAGAUAAAAAAAUGUCCAGAAUUUCAGAGCUAUUUCAUUGGUGAUUUAAUCAUCAUAGAUGCACACAGAUGAUUAAUCAUAGUUCGUACAAGUUUGGUCCAUAGAAUUUUCAAUUAAAAGAGAAAUAAGAUUACUUAGCAGUGCCAAGAGUAUAAUGCAUAGACUACAAGAAGGCAAAGAUCAACAACAUAGUUUGCAAAUGAUGAGGAAACACAGUAGCAGUUUAAUCCUUAUUUAAGUGAACGAUAAAUCUAACCACCAGUCGGCUGGUGGUUUGCAACAGAUCCGGACGACCGCGACCUCCUGCAAUUGCCCCACCACGGUAACCAACUCACAUAGGCUUUGUUGUUGUCAAAAGCGCCCAGGCUAUGAAUAUAUUGCGUAGUGGCUAUUUGUUCAAGAUUUAAAAUGUGAACGACUCGCUAACUUUGAUUGCGAAUUUAGUGGGAAGAAUCUGAAGACUAUGCCGUUGACUGUCGCGAUUUUUCUUUGAAUUGUAUAUGUCAUUUUUUUUUGGUUGCUAGAUCUAUUGGAACGCCCUCAUUACAUUUUUAGUCAAAAAAAAUCAUGCUGAAUAUGGGAUUUGAACUCACAUCUAGCAGCUAAUGUGAAACACACACUAACCAGCUCAGCUGGACCAUUUGUUGCGAAAAAGAAUGCACGCCAUACUAUUUGAGCAUUCCAUGUUGCUUUAUUUUCUUCUUUUCUGUGAGGAGUUGAUCAAAUAUACCCCGGGUAACUGUUAUGUGAAUAACAUGGUCACUCACACAUCGCAAAUCCGAUAACUUAUAUAUCCCUGUCCUGAUAACUUUGGCGACCGAAGGGGGAGGGGGGAGUUGACGAACUUUUGUGUAAAUAGCAUGGUAACUCAUACAUCGCAGACCUGAUAAUUUAUGCACCCUACCNNNNNNNNNNNNNNNNNNNNNNNNNNNNNNNNNNNNNNNNNNNNNNNNNNNNNNNNNNNNNNNNNNNNNNNNNNNNNNNNNNNNNNNNNNNNNNNNNNNNNNNNNNNNNNNNNNNNNNNNNNNNNNNNNNNNNNNNNNNNNNNNNNNNNNNNNNNNNNNNNNNNNNNNNNNNNNNNNNNNNNNNNNNNNNNNNNNNNNNNNNNNNNNNNNNNNNNNNNNNNNNNNNNNNNNNNNNNNNNNNNNNNNNNNNNNNNNNNNNNNNNNNNNNNNNNNNNNNNNNNNNNNNACUUAUGUACCCAGGUCCUGAUAACUUUGGCGACGAGGGUGGGGGGAGUUGAUGAAAUAUCCCCUCGGUAGCUUUUGUGUGAAUAGCAUGGUAACACACACAUCAUAGACAUGAUAACUUAUGUACCCAGGUCCUGAUAACUUUGGCGAUGGGGGUGGUGGGGGGGAGUUGAUAAAACAUCCCCUCGAUAACUUUUUGUGUGAAUAGCAUGGUAACUCAUACAUCGCAGACCUGAUAACUUAUGUACCUGACCCUCCUGAUAAAAAAGUCAUAGAGGAGUCCCUCUACACAUUCACAGGUAUAGUACAUCAUCAUUUAUGCAGUGAUUUGUUUUCAAGAAAAUACCUUUCUUUUUGUCAUCUGACAAUGGUGAAAAAGAGUUUUAAAAGACUUUUGUUUUCAAGUAUUGAACAACAGCUUGGGUUGGUGUAAUGGUUGUUGCUCAUGGUAUUAGGCGUGCCCUAUCUACCUGAUGCAGGUUCGAAUCCCAUGUAGCGCACUUUUUUCUUAAUUCACCUUUUUUUAUUAGUGUCAAUCGGGGGAGAACGGGAGAAGCGGGAGCCAUCGAGGAUAGCAAAGGCAGUGGUGUAUAAAUUUCAGGUUAGGAAGUUUUUUUCUUAAUUCACCUUUUUUUAUUAGUGUCAAUCGGGGGAGAACGGGAGAAGCGGGAGCCAUCGAGGAUAGCAAAGGCAGUGGUGUAUAAAUUUCAGGUUAGGAAGUGAACAACACAAAAUUCAUCUACACCUAACGAACAAUUAAGACUUAACAACGGUGAACAACGAAAGCGAACAAAAUUCUACAUCAGCCAUGUUACAGAAAAUUCACAUAUGCUCUUCUAGAGGAACCUAUAUUGAUUGCCAAAUAUUAAAGUAGGAUAUGGAAAAUAAUAGUACUGCUGACCCAUGAUGAACUGAUGUUGUUACUUAACAUGUUAUAACUGCUUAUUAAGUGAUAUACUUUAGGCUUUUGUCUUCUUUCGUCAGAAAUGUGAUAUCUCAGAGUUAACUAAAUUGAUUCUGAAGCGACGGUGACCCAUCGGUCUCAGCUCUGCUAGCCCUUUGAAGCUUCGAUUUUGAAGCGAAAUGACUUGUACUGAAUGAGUGUGGAAAAAACUGAAUGAUGAGCAUAGCCCCUAAAUCCUCAUCCUAUUCUUUUUCUACUGAAUGUACUGCUUCCCUGUAUUCAGCAUGACUUGAGCAUGCACUGAUAAUAAUAGAAGCUCUGGUUUCUCAAAACAAAAGCAUAAUCGCAUAUGAUUAUGCCUCUAUACACUGACAUGAUACAAAUCUAUGAGUAAGUUGAGCUUAUUUUUACACUUAUCUGCAUACCUACCUAUCCAAUGGAGAAAAAAAAUUGAGUUGAUUCAACAAAAGAAGAAAAAAAUGAGAAGAUGCAUUACACUAAAAACAAAAUAAGAAAAAAGGAGAAGAUGCACUCUCGUAUUCAGGGGCGGAGCUGGAGCAAAUGUUACCCGAUGCACCGCUUUAAUAAGGCGUAAAAUUUUCAAACAACUUUCUAUUGAAUAAAGGUUUGUUUAACAACUUCUAGCACAUAUUAUAGGACAUAAUAGAAGGUGAUGUGUAAAAAAAUAUGUAGCAAUCAAAAUGCUCACAAUAAUGAUAAAAUGAGAGACAAAAUUACCUGAAAAUGGAUGUCUUGCAUUUCCAAAUUCCAGAAUACAUCAUUGGACAACAAGGUUCAGUAACCUACAAGAUAAAAAUAGAAUUGAACUUUCUAGUCGAACAUAAUAAAAUGCUAGGAUGAAAGUACUUAAAUGACUAAAAACCUGUAAAUUACCUUUAGUACAUCCUACACCUCCGAGCGACGAAAUAUUCAACAACUUGAGCAUUGCUGGCCUUUUUCAUUCAUUCUUUCAAUUUUCUCUUGCCCGGAUCAUAUUGAAUCCUCUCUCCCCAAAUUAUGUUUUCCAAAACAUCUUGUGAUGGCGCUUUUCUUUUGAGAAGAAACUUCUCAAUAUUAUCUGCAUAUAACAAAUACAAAUUACAUAUGAGAGAUAAAAAAUGAGAGUGGAUUUAAUCUAUCAGCCGCAAGUUUAUAACCCUAAAAAAUGCUCCAAGUUUUGCCAAUACAUAGGGAUUUAAUCUAUCAGCUGCAAGUUUAUACACGUAACUUUUGCAACUUGCAAUUCGUAGAAAGAUUUAGAAAAGGUAGGGCAAGGACACUACCAGAAUUGGGGUUCCUUCCUAUCCAAUCUAUAGACAGAACGGAAGAUCUCUCGGACAGGUCGCCGAAUUGCAGAGAGCAGGAGGGCCAGCCGAAGACGAAAUUGCGACGUGCGGUAGGUGUCGCGCGGAACUCAAGUGUGGCUGUGGUGCUGCGGCCUGCGGCGUCCGACGUCGCCGGUUCGCUGCCGCCUGUGUACGCGAGGCGUAUAUAGGUCGUAUGGAUCGAUUGAUUUCACGGCCGCUUGGUACGCGCACGUACGUCUACACGGGAAACUGAUCGAUCGAUUGAUUACAGCGUGCGUACGUGACUUGGGCUGGGGAACAAACAGCAGGUGCGUGUGUGCGUGGCCUGUAUUGGCCCAUUGCGGAGGCGUGCGUGCGUGAAGUCUGGACACCCUGAUGCACUGAUGUUGGGCCAACCUGAUGCACAGGGCCUUUUUAGGUGGUAGGUAGCACUAAAAAAUUAGAUGGGCCCGUAUUCCUGUGCAUCAGGGUCAGCCCAAUGGGCUCCGCCCCUGCUCGUAUUCAGUCAUCUGGUCGCUAUUUCUUUGCUUCAGUCUUAUGGAGGUUCAGAGGGAGGUUUAGAGGAACCUUCUUUUUUCCAUGGAGUGUUGGACUAGUAUGUAGGAGUAGAAUCUGAUAAAGAAUGUCAUUCACCUCCUACCCGCAGGAAUAUAUCUGGUAGCAAAUAUUGUCAUUGAGGCCUUGCCAGUAAUGACUAUGCAGCACUGCAGAUCUCUACUUUCAUUCCAAAAAAAAGCAGUGCAUUCCUACUGCAUUUGAAUUUGGUUGCAUCCUAAUCCAAUUCACAUAGUUACAGUUUUAUACCCAGACAAAAUAAUUGAUUGACCAGGCACGCCAUCAUCAUACUAUACAGGAAAUAGGCAACAGACAGUACGGCAAAAAACAGGAGAUGCAGAGCUAGGCUCACCGUGGGUGGAGUAGUCGGGCGCCGCAGCGGGUAAAUGGAAUCGAGGAGGGCGGCCGAAUUUGACCACGGCGAUAUGCUGACCAAGCCAAUUCACAAAACUUUUAGCCACACAAACCACGAAAUCUCUGAAUGGCAACAAACUUAGCAAGGCGCGUGCUAGAUAAAUCGUUAAGGAUGUGUACCUUUCAAUGGAGGAUUCAAGGAGGGAAGUCCAGAAGCAGG